UACGACCUGUGCGAACGUUAUUCGGAAUCACUGGGCUUAAAGGGUGCGUAGGCGGCUGCCUAAGUCAGGUGUGAAAUCUCCCGGCUCAACCGGGAAACUGCGCUUGAUACUGGGCGGCUCGAGUGAGGUAGGGGUGUGUGGAACUUCCGGUGGAGCGGUGAAAUGUGUAGAUAUCGGAAGGAACGCCAGCAGCGAAAGCGGCACACUGGGCCUUUUCUGACGCUGAGGCACGAAAGCCAGGGGAGCGAACGGG
rnacentral:rRNA from 1 species